UACGGAGGGUGCAAGCGUUGUCCGGAUUUAUUGGGUUUAAAGGGUGCGUAGGCGGCUAAUUAAGUCAGCGGUGAAAUUCCACAGCUCAACUGUGUGAACUGCCAUUGAUACUGGUUGGCUUGAGUACGGGAGAGGAUAGUGGAAUUCCCAGUGUAGAGGUGAAAUUCGUAGAUAUUGGGAAGAACACCGGUGGCGAAGGCGGCUAUCUGGACCGUAACUGACGCUGAGGCGCGAAAGCGUGGAGAGCAAACAGG
rnacentral:rRNA from 1 species